GGUCCCGUAGCUCAAUUGGUAGAGCAGUGGAUUCUUAAUCCAUUGGUUGAAGGUUCGAGUCCUUCCGGGAUCA
rnacentral:tRNA from 1 species